AGCUACAGCCAUGCCACCCUGAACAAGCCCGAUCCUGUCUGACUUCAGAAGCUAAGCAGGGUCAGGCCUGGUUAGUACUUGGAUGGGAGACCACCUAGGAAGACCAGGUGCUGUAGGCA
rnacentral:rRNA from 1 species